ACACUACCAACUAGCUCAAAUUCCACCAUUCCCAUCUUUCUUCUACAUUGAAGCUUUCCAUGAGUAUGCUUUUCUAACAUCCACCUCCAUAACCAAGAAUCAAGUCUCAAUUUUAGUUUCAUUCAUCUUUUCUCUAUUUGGCAAAGAAUCUCCACAAACCUAAACCCCAAUUCCGAAAUUUUCCCAAUUCCUCCAUUAUUAGUUCAUGCAUGUACGAAUUAAGGCUUCAAACUCUCAUUUCAUACCAAAAGGAAAGUUAAGAAUCCUUUUUCACUCUUGAGGCUUGUAUUCAUGAGUUUUACUAUGGGUUGGAGCAUUUCAAGUAUUGGAGGUAAUCUAGGAUUUUCCCGACGGGUUUUACUCGCUCAAGCCGCACAAACGGGUACCUGAAGCUUGAAGUUUCGUUUUCCUUUUUAGUUCCAGAAGUUCCCUUGACACAUGAGGUUGGAAGUUUGGAUUGAAAAGAAUUAUAAGACGAGAUUCAAUUGGAGCACUAGACUAGAUUGGAGAACAAGCUUUUUUGAUGUAGACUAUGUUGUGGUUGUAAUAAUCAAGUGUUGAGAGAGCUACAAUUACAGAGGUGAGUUCCAUAGAUAGAAAUCCUUACCAAUAUAGUCUCCCCACUAUUCUCAUGGAGAAUUGGGUUUUCGGGUAGUUAGAACUAGAAAUUAUUUCAUGAGAAAUUGCACUUUGAUGAGAUUGCCCCUUUAGAUUAGUUCUCUCAAAUUGUAUAGAUUUAAUGCAUGUUGUUUAUGAAUCUUGGUGACUUCCCUUGCCCUUGUUGUGCUACUAACUGUUGGCCUAAAUUGUCACUAAAAUGCAUCUAGAGUAAGGCUAGGACUGUGUGAGGAUAAUGGUACAAACUGAAUUUUUUUGCAGGAAACUGGCCACCUGGGCAUUCUGCCCUCUGCGCCUGGGGCGCGGACCACUGCGCUGGAAGCGCAAAUAACAGUGUUUCCCAGACUGUUCCUGCGCCUGGAGCUACAUCCAGCAGCCCCGUUUGCACUGUUUUGCAUUUUCGGAUGCUUUUGGGACACCGUAAUGUCCCUAAUGGAAUAAGAUCAUAUGGGAAUGAAAAAUAUAGUAGUUAGCUUAAUAAAUUGCAUAGGUUGGGUAGGGAAACAAACAGAAAACUAUGGACUAGAUGCAUUAUAAGUUAAUUCAGGACAGGUAAGAAUAUUGACGGUUGAUCUUGAAAUGUAGUGGACUUUGGGCCACAAGUGUUAGAUUUCUAAUGCUAAAUGUCUAUGAUGAAUAAUAUGUUAAGUUGUGGUCUAUAAGGCACCAGAAAGGCUUCCUUAUGUAGGAGUUGGAGCUGGAUUGAAAUUCUAUAUAGAAUUUCACACAACGAUAAGAUGAGGUAUGACCGUACGCUUUAGCCCUGAAAUGAUAGGGAAUUUAGCCGGGUAUGUAAGGGAAUGGUUCGAGACUACUCAUCUCGAAUUAUUCCGUAAAAUCAACUCAGACAAAUAAUUUUGUGUCACACUUUAUUUGCAUUAUACCGAAAAUAAUCGUGAAAUGAAUAUGUAUAUGUUUAUGUAAUUAAUCAACUGUCAGGACAAAGGAUAUUAGUAUCACCCUAAGAUAGGCGGGACUCACUGAGGCUUUAUGUCUCAUCCCACUCCUUUUUAUUUUUUUCAGAUAAGCAGAUUAAACGAGUCAGGGGUAAGAAGAAACUAAGGAUUGAAGAUGGAAGAUUUUAUUACAUUAGUUUCUUCCUUGUUUUGUUAGAUUAGUCUGAUAGAUAUGUCUGAUGAUUAUUUACCAUUGUGUAAUGGAACUUUCAUUUCCUUGUACCUGAUAUAAAAUUUGGGUACUUGUUCUUUUGAACAAGCUAUUCUAUAAAUUUUAAUGUAUCUGAAUCUCAAAUAUGUAUAUCUUGGUCAAUAUUCUAGACAUUUGACAUUGGAUGUUACA